GACAGAGGUGCCGAGCGUUAGGCGGAAUCACUGGGCUUAAAGCGUGUGUGGGCGGAUGGGUAAGUACCUUGUGAAAUCCCACGGCUCAACCGUGGAACUGCUCGGUAUACUGCUCGUCUUGAGCCAACUAGGGGCGACCGGAACAAACGGUGGAGCGGUGAAAUGCGUAGAUAUCGUUUGGAACGCCGAUGGUGAAAACAGGUCGCUGGGGUUGUGCUGACGCUGAGACACGAAAGCCAGGGGAGCGAACGGG
rnacentral:rRNA from 1 species